AGAGUUUGAUCAUGGCUCAGAUUGAACGCUGGCGGCAGGCCUAACACAUGCAAGUCGAACGGUAACAGGAAACAGCUUGCUGUUUCGCUGACGAGUGGCGGACGGGUGAGUAAUGUCUGGGAAACUGCCUGAUGGAGGGGGAUAACUACUGGAAACGGUAGCUAAUACCGCAUAACGUCGCAAGACCAAAGAGGGGGACCUUCGGGCCUCUUGCCAUCAGAUGUGCCCAGAUGGGAUUAGCUAGUAGGUGGGGUAACGGCUCACCUAGGCGACGAUCCCUAGCUGGUCUGAGAGGAUGACCAGCCACACUGGAACUGAGACACGGUCCAGACUCCUACGGGAGGCAGCAGUGGGGAAUAUUGCACAAUGGGCGCAAGCCUGAUGCAGCCAUGCCGCGUGUAUGAAGAAGGCCUUCGGGUUGUAAAGUACUUUCAGCGGGGAGGAAGGGAGUAAAGUUAAUACCUUUGCUCAUUGACGUUACCCGCAGAAGAAGCACCGGCUAACUCCGUGCCAGCAGCCGCGGUAAUACGGAGGGUGCAAGCGUUAAUCGGAAUUACUGGGCGUAAAGCGCACGCAGGCGGUUUGUUAAGUCAGAUGUGAAAUCCCCGGGCUCAACCUGGGAACUGCAUCUGAUACUGGCAAGCUUGAGUCUCGUAGAGGGGGGUAGAAUUCCAGGUGUAGCGGUGAAAUGCGUAGAGAUCUGGAGGAAUACCGGUGGCGAAGGCGGCCCCCUGGACGAAGACUGACGCUCAGGUGCGAAAGCGUGGGGAGCAAACAGGAUUAGAUACCCUGGUAGUCCACGCCGUAAACGAUGUCGACUUGGAGGUUGUGCCCUUGAGGCGUGGCUUCCGGAGCUAACGCGUUAAGUCGACCGCCUGGGGAGUACGGCCGCAAGGUUAAAACUCAAAUGAAUUGACGGGGGCCCGCACAAGCGGUGGAGCAUGUGGUUUAAUUCGAUGCAACGCGAAGAACCUUACCUGGUCUUGACAUCCACGGAAGUUUUCAGAGAUGAGAAUGUGCCUUCGGGAACCGUGAGACAGGUGCUGCAUGGCUGUCGUCAGCUCGUGUUGUGAAAUGUUGGGUUAAGUCCCGCAACGAGCGCAACCCUUAUCCUUUGUUGCCAGCGGUCCGGCCGGGAACUCAAAGGAGACUGCCAGUGAUAAACUGGAGGAAGGUGGGGAUGACGUCAAGUCAUCAUGGCCCUUACGACCAGGGCUACACACGUGCUACAAUGGCGCAUACAAAGAGAAGCGACCUCGCGAGAGCAAGCGGACCUCAUAAAGUGCGUCGUAGUCCGGAUUGGAGUCUGCAACUCGACUCCAUGAAGUCGGAAUCGCUAGUAAUCGUGGAUCAGAAUGCCACGGUGAAUACGUUCCCGGGCCUUGUACACACCGCCCGUCACACCAUGGGAGUGGGUUGCAAAAGAAGUAGGUAGCUUAACCUUCGGGAGGGCGCUUACCACUUUGUGAUUCAUGACUGGGGUGAAGUCGUAACAAGGUAACCGUAGGGGAACCUGCGGUUGGAUCACCU
rnacentral:rRNA from 2 species